rfam:Ricinus communis ctg_1100012356457, whole genome shotgun sequence.
GGGGAGCAUCUGAAAGCUGAGAUGCUACCUGAUAAAAUCUUCCUAGAGAAAACUCUGUAUUUUCCUGCUUGUGGUACUUGAGCAAGUAUUGCGAGUCUCAAAUCUUCAGAGACAGAA